GUAAAGGAUAAUUUAUAUGCAUCCUGAGAUUUAGAGUGUGAACUCAUGUUGUAAGACCCUGACAGUCCCUAAAGCAUAUGUAAUCCAUCUUCUUCUAGGCUUGAUGACUCUCUGUGGUGUGGGAUCCCGAAAAAACUGCCUUUAGAAAUCUUGUUUAAACCUGGAACACAGUGAUUGAUCCCUAACCAAAAUCUACCAUUUUCUUCUGCACAAGCCCCAGACUAAUGAACUACCCUGUGUAAAUGUAUCUACACAGCGAUGGGAUGGCACUCCAAAGAUUUCUUCAGUGAAUUAAAACAUAACAGUUAUUCAAAGUUUUAGUUUACAAUAAAAACGUUCAUCACCUUCUUUAAACAGGUACUGUCAUCUUGUCCCCCCAGAGAGCUAUUGGACACUUG